CCUACGGGUGGCUGCAGUGGGGAAUAUUGGACAAUGGGCGAAAGCCUGAUCCAGCCAUGCCGCGUGUGUGAAGAAGGCCUUCGGGUUGUAAAGCACUUUCAGUGGGGAAGAAAGCCUUGGGGCUAAUACCCUCGAGGAAGGACAUCACCCACAGAAGAAGCACCGGCUAACUCCAUGCCAGCAGCCGCGGUAAUACGGAGGGUGCGAGCGUUAAUCGGAAUUACUGGGCGUAAAGCGCGCGUAGGCGGUCUGAUAAGCCGGUUGUGAAAGCCCCGGGCUCAACCUGGGAACGGCAUCCGGAACUGUCAGGCUAGAGUGCAGGAGAGGAAGGUAGAAUUCCCGGUGUAGCGGUGAAAUGCGUAGAGAUCGGGAGGAAUACCAGUGGCGAAGGCGGCCUUCUGGACUGACACUGACGCUGAGGUGCGAAAGCGUGGGUAGCAAACAGGAUUAGAUACCCGAGUAGUC
rnacentral:rRNA from 1 species